rnacentral:rRNA from 1 species
GGGACACGUGGUAUCCUGUCUGAAUAUGGGGGGACCAUCCUCCAAGGCUAAAUACUCCUGACUGACCGAUAGUGAACCAGUACCGUGAGGGAAAGGCGAAAAGAACCCCGGCGAGGGGAGUGAAAAAGAACCUGAAACCGUGUACGUACAAGCAGUGGGAGCCUCUUUAUGGGGUGACUGCGUACCUUUUGUAUAAUGGGUCAGCGACUUAUAUUCUGUAGCAAGGUUAACCGAAUAGGGGAGCCGAAGGGAAACCGAGUCUUAACUGGGCGUUAAGUUGCAGGGUAUAGACCCGAAACCCGGUGAUCUAGCCAUGGGCAGGUUGAAGGUUGGGUAACACUAACUGGAGGACCGAACCGACUAAUGUUGAAAAAUUAGCGGAUGACUUGUGGCUGGGGGUGAAAGGCCAAUCAAACCGGGAGAUAGCUGGUUCUCCCCGAAAGCUAUUUAGGUAGCGCCUCGUGAAUUCAUCUCCGGGGGUAGAGCACUGUUUCGGCAAGGGGGUCAUCCCGACUUACCAACCCGAUGCAAACUGCGAAUACCGGAGAAUGUUAUCACGGGAGACACACGGCGGGUGCUAACGUCCGUCGUGAAGAGGGAAACAACCCAGACCGCCAGCUAAGGUCCCAAAGUCAUGGUUAAGUGGGAAACGAUGUGGGAAGGCCCAGACAGCCAGGAUGUUGGCUUAGAAGCAGCCAUCAUUUAAAGAAAGCGUAAUAGCUCACUGGUCGAGUCGGCCUGCGCGGAAGAUGUAACGGGGCUAAACCAUGCACCGAAGCUGCGGCAGCGACACUAAGUGUUGUUGGGUAGGGGAGCGUUCUGUAAGCCUGUGAAGGUGUACUGUGAGGUAUGCUGGAGGUAUCAGAAGUGCGAAUGCUGACAUAAGUAACGAUAAAGCGGGUGAAAAGCCCGCUCGCCGGAAGACCAAGGGUUCCUGUCCAACGUUAAUCGGGGCAGGGUGAGUCGACCCCUAAGGCGAGGCCGAAAGGCGUAGUCGAUGGGAAACAGGUUAAUAUUCCUGUACUUGGUGUUACUGCGAAGGGGGGACGGAGAAGGCUAUGUUGGCCGGGCGACGGUUGUCCCGGUUUAAGCGUGUAGGCUGGUUUUCCAGGCAAAUCCGGAAAAUCAAGGCUGAGGCGUGAUGACGAGGCACUACGGUGCUGAAGCAACAAAUGCCCUGCUUCCAGGAAAAGCCUCUAAGCAUCAGGUAACAUCAAAUCGUACCCCAAACCGACACAGGUGGUCAGGUAGAGAAUACCAAGGCGCUUGAGAGAACUCGGGUGAAGGAACUAGGCAAAAUGGUGCCGUAACUUCGGGAGAAGGCACGCUGAUAUGUAGGUGAAGCGACUUGCUCGUGGAGCUGAAAUCAGUCGAAGAUACCAGCUGGCUGCAACUGUUUAUUAAAAACACAGCA